GCAUAAUCGAUAGUUUUUUAAUUGAAAGCUGGAAUGAAGGGUUUAAACUGAAAAGAUAGUUUUGUUUAAUUAUUUUGAAUUUAAAUUAAAAGUAAAAAUGCUUUUAUAAGAUUUUGGGACGAGAAGACCCUAGAAGCUUAUAAUUGGAAAAUUUUUAGUUGGGGUAACGUUUGAAGAUAAAAAUUUUUAAAGGGUUUAAAUAAAAAGGAAUAAGUUACUCUAGGGAUAACAGCAUAAUUUAAUUAACAAGUUCUUAUUAAUAAUUAAGUUUGUGACCUCGAUGUUGAAUUAAUU
rnacentral:rRNA from 1 species